CUCGCAGGCCAUGGAACAGAAAGGGCUUUUAUCCUCAGGAUCAAGAGAAGCAAGCCGCUUUAGAGAUCGAAUAACCUGCCCAAGCUCACCCAACUGGCGAGUGGAAUUACAUACUUUUCCUUUUACCCUCACAGCACCUCCUUCGUAUUACCUCCUAGGAUAGCUGAGGAAAGUGAGGCCCAGCUUAGAAAGGGGCGGUCAAGAGCAGAUAUCAGAUCUCAUCGCCGAUAUAUUUGCCAAUAAAGGAGACAGCUUGGAAGACUGACAAGGUGAAACCUAGGAGACAGGGUAGAAGAGGAUCUGAGGUUUGAAUAAAAUCGCGCCCUCAAAAGGUUCGCUUUCAAAGUUCUGAAAUUCCCCAGUAAGAUUCCAGGACAAACGCCGUAGCUGGGAGCUGCGGGAAGGGCAGCACUGUCGCCCACCGUAGGAAGGUGCUUCCUGGGUGGCCCCUGAGCAUCACAGAUGCUGAUUUAACAUGCCCGUCCGUGGGCUCCACAUACUUGAAUCUGCAUUUUUCAAAUGAGGGCUCCCGACAUCCUCGACGGACAGUAAAGUUUGAGAACUACAUUAGCAGGCUGGACUGGUCGCUUGACAGCUCUAGACCGCGGUUUCCCAAACUGGAAAAGACGGGGGCCGAGGGAGCGGGAGAAUAACAAUAAAAUCUGCCUCUGGACGCUCGACUUCCCCCAGCCGGUGAGACUCGAAUCACGUGAUGGGCUAGAAAAGGCCGGCGCGACUGCGUACUGAGAGGCCGAACGGCCCGCAAGGCAUUGUGGGACACAGGGGGGCCGUCAGCCGCUCCCGCCUCCAGCUUUGACGGCACGGCUGCCACGUUGCAAUAAAUCUAAACGCCUUUUCGGGGCGUCGCCGGGUGCCUCCGGGCGUAACUGUAAACACCCUUCUUGUGUCUAAGAGCCGACAAGGCUAAUGAAGCCACCUCCCAAAGAGCAGUGACAAACUUCCGGUGUGCCUUCGCUUUACGACUCGCGUUCCGCCGCCGAGCCCAAAGGAAGCGGCAGCGCAGUUUACGGCAGCGCCGGUCAGGUUUACGGCGCCGGUCACUGCGCGCGCACCGUCCCUCCUUUCCAGUCGCCUCGGAGUGCAGCAGGUAGCGAGCUGUCUGGCCUGGUCUAUCUUUCGCCAUCCGGGCCGGCUGAGGCCCGUGCAGGUUUUAGAAGAUGGCAAAGUUCAUGACACCCGUGAUCCAGGACAACCCCUCUUCC